CAGGACCCUGAGACCAUGACCUGAGCCGAAGGCAGAGGCUUUAACCCACUGAGCCACCCAGGUGCCCCGAUUUACAAUAUUAUUGAGGGCAAGAAGAUGACCCUGGCGCUGAGAAGCUUGGAGAAAAGUGAACAAGCCAGAAUUUUUGGCCAAAAAUCCAUGUUUGUUUGUUUGGUUUUUUUGAUGCCAUGUAUCAUGUCUUGGGAGACCUGACUUCAGUCGUGCUGAUCAUGAUCACAUCCUCUAGGACAACUAGAAGAUCAAAUACAGUAUUUUCUGGAUCGGCCCAAAGAUGAAACAUCUUGGAAAAACACAUCACAUUCGACCUUGGACCCGAGAUGGGAACGCUAAGUGCUUUGAAGCAAGUAGAUUUAAUUUGGAUGCCGGAAGGCCCUGCCGAGCUACGCAUACACUGGACGAUUCUCAGGGAGCAAACGGUGGUCUCACGUGGAAAAUGAGCUGGACGUGGCUCUGCAUCCAGCUCCACAGACCUCAGUAUCCGUCCCUCCACCAGUGCCGCACAUGCUCGAUGACAACAGCAAUGCAGUAGGUCUUAGUAUCAGGUAGAAGGAGCCUCUCACUUUAUUCUCCUUCUUCAAGAUUGAUUGUUUAUUGAUUUAUUAUUUUUUAGCUAUUCUAGGGCCUAUCCUGUGCAUAUUAGUUUAAGUUUAUCUGUGUCUACUAAAAUUCUUUGAGAUUUUGAUGGGAAUUGCAUUAAACUUUUAGAUUAAUUUUGGGA